rnacentral:rRNA from 1 species
AACGAACGCUGGCGGCAUGCCUAACACAUGCAAGUCGAACGAGACCUUCGGGUCUAGUGGCGCACGGGUGCGUAACGCGUGGGAACCUGCCCUUAGGUUCGGAAUAACUCCCCGAAAGGGGUGCUAAUACCGGAUAAUGUCUUCGGACCAAAGAUUUAUCGCCUUUGGAUGGGCCCGCGUUGGAUUAGCUAGUUGGUAGGGUAAAAGCCUACCAAGGCGACGAUCCAUAGCUGGUCUGAGAGGAUGAUCAGCCACACUGGGACUGAGACACGGCCCAGACUCCUACGGGAGGCAGCAGUGGGGAAUCUUGGACAAUGGGCGAAAGCAUGAUCCAGCAAUGCCGCGUGAGUGAUGAAGGCCUUAGGGUUGUAAAGCUCUUUUACCCGGGAUGAUAAUGACGGUACCGGGAGAAUAAGCUCCGGCUAACUCCGUG